UUGUCACUACAACUUUAGGUUCGGGGACUUUGGGGAUUUCAGCUGUUGCCAGGUGGUUGUGGUUUCUAACCCCUGUGAAUACAGGGGGCCCACUAUGAUUAUGUAACAUGUGGAACCACCAGGGGUUCCACAUGUUACAUGUGGAACCCCUGGUGGGAGCUCACUAUGGGAGCCCACAUAGUGAGCUCCCAUAAAAGGGAGGCUGGUGACCAAUUGUCAAUCUCCUCUGCUCGACCAGGUGUGUUGGCCCACGCGUUUGUGAUCAGGGCCACAUUUCAUGUUUUGAUCGGACGAUUGCUCUACCUGGGCGUGCGGUUGAUCGACGCUGCAGUUGUCGCUGCACCCUGCUGUUCUUUUAGAGUUUGAUUUUCUUCCAUUGUUUUUCAUUUAUUUUGUUUAUCUAUUGUUUUUGCAAAUGCA